AGUGGAUGGGGAGCAACCUAGUUGUGCGUGUGUAAAGGUAGUGCCAAGAAAAGCGAUGAUCAUGUUGAAAAUCAAUUCCCGGUACCCGAAACCGACACAGGUGGGCAAGUAGAGAAUACUAAGGGGCGCGAGGUAACUCUCUCCAAGGAACUCGGCAAAAUGACCCCGUAACUUAGGGAGAAGGGGUGCCACCGAGAGGUGGUCGCAGUGAAGAGGCCCAGGCGACUGUUUAGCAAAAACAUAGGUCUCUGCAAACUCGAAAGAGGAGGUAUAGGGGCUGACGCCUGCCCAGUGCCGGAAGGUUAAAGAAGUUGGUCAGUCUUAGGAUGAAGCUAGCGACUGAAGCCCCGGUGAACGGCGGCCGUAACUAUAACGGUCCUAAGGUAGCGAAAUUCCCUGUCGGGUAAGUUCCGACCCGCACGAAAGGCGUAACGAUCUGGGCGCUGUCUCGGAGAGAGGCUCGGCGAAAUAGGAUUGUCUGUGAAGAUACGGACUACCUGCAUUUGGACAGAAAGACCCUAUGAAGCUUUACUAUAGCUUGGAAUUGUGUUCGGGCUUCCUGUGCGCAGGAUAGGUGGGAGGCGUAGAAGGUAUUCUUGUGGGGAUACUGGAGCCAACGGUAAGAUACCACUCUCAGGAGGCUAGAAUUCUAACUUAAUUAAGGACAGUUUCAGGUGGGUAGUUUGACUGGGGCGGUCGCCUCCAAAAAGGUAACGGAGGCGUACAAAGGUUCCCUCAGACUGGUUGGAAAUCAGUCGAAGAGUGCAAAGGCAGAAGGGAGCUUGACUGCGAGAAGUACAGUUCGAGCAGGGUGGAAACACGGUCUUAGUGAUCCGACGGUGCUGUGUGGAAGGGCCGUCGCUCAACGGAUAAAAGUUACUCUAGGAUAACAGGCUGAUCUCCCCCAUGAGUUCACAUCGACGGGGAGGUUUGGCACCUCGAUGUUGGCUCAUCGCAACCUGGGGCGGAAGUACGUCCCAAGGGUUGGGCUGUUCGCCCAUUAAAGCGGUACGUGAGCUGGGUUCAGAACGUCGUGAGACAGUUCGGUCCAUAUCCGAUGUAGGCGUGAGAAUAUUGAGAGGAGCCUUCCUUAGUACGAGAGGACCGGGAAGGACGCACCGCUGGUGUACCUGUUAUGAUGCCAAUUGUAAACGCAGGGUAGCCAAGUGCGGAGAGGAUAACCGCUGAAAGCAUCUAAGUGGGAAGCCCACCUCAAGAUGAGUAUUCUGGUGUAAGGUCACGGGAAGACGACCCGUAAAUAGGCACGAGGUGGAAGUGCAGAGAUGUAUGAAGCCGAAGUGUACUAAUAGACCGUCGGCUUGACC
rnacentral:rRNA from 1 species